UCCAAAGGCCCUUAAGUGUGUGUUCUUAGGGUACUCACGUCUUCAAAAAGGUUAUCGAUGUUAUUCUCUAGAUCUCAAAAGGUACUUAGUGUCUGCCGAUAUCACAUUCCAUGAAAAUAUACUCUUGACUUGUUGCUGAAACUGGAAAGUUGGGAUCUAAACCAUGCAGCAUGCCAAUGGUUCCUAACACACAACUCGUGAAAGAAGACGGUCAGUUAUUCGAAGAUCCAGAGAAAUAUAGGAGAUUGGUUGAGAAUAUGAACUAUCUUACAGUAACUCGUCCCGAUAUCGCAUGCUCUGUCAGCAUUGUGAGUCAGUUUAUGUCUUCCCCAAUAGUCAGGCAUUGGGCGCGGCUCUGGAGCAGAUUCUUUGUUAUCUAAAGGGAUCUCCAGGACGGGGUCUAGUAUAUAAGAAUAAUGAACACACUAACAUUGAGUGUUUCACAGAUGCAGAUUGGGCAGGGUCAAAAGCCGAUAGGAGAUCCACGACAGGAUAUUGCGUUUUUGUUGGUGGAAACUUGAUUUCGUGGAAGAGUAAGAAACAAAAUGUCGUAUCUCGAUCUAGUGCGGAAGCAGAAUACAGAGCUAUGGCACAAUCUGUGUGUGAGGUUGUAUGGGUACAUCAACUAUUAAGUGAAGUUGGCUUCCAAACUACAUUGCCAGCAAAGUUGUGGUGUGAUAAUCAAGCUGCUCUUCAUAUCUCCUCUAAUCCUGUAUUUCACGAAAGGACUAAGCACAUUGAAAUAGAUUGUCACUUUGUUCGUGAACAGAUUCAACAAAAACUCAUCUCUACAGGUCAUGUUAGAACUGGAGAUCAAUUGGGAGACAUUUUCACAAAAGCUUUGAAUGGAGCUCGAGUUGAAUAUAUCUGUAACAAGUUGGGCAUGAUCAAUAUAUAUGCUCCAACUUGAGGGGGAGUGUUGACAUACAAGUUGUCUAGCACAUGUAUACACAUGUACUACAUCAUAGCUAGCACAUGUCUAUGAGUUGUAUAGUAGGUGUAAUACAAGUUGUGUAGCACAUGUAUACACAUGUACUACAUCAUAGCUACCACAUGUAUAUGAGUUGUAUAGUAGGUGUAAUUAGGUGUAUGACAACUAAUAGAUUAGGUGAAUUAGUAUUAUAAAUAGGCCUUGUAAUCUUCUCUUCUACAUAUGAAAUAUAGAACUUCUUUGGUUUCUAACAUCCUGAAACAAUCUCAAGCCAAUUGGCAGGUGCUGAGUGCUUGGUACUUAAGUCUGUUAAUGGAAAACAUCAUAUUAUGCUUCGUAUAUGAUUGAGUAUUUGUAAGGAAAAGUUCAUCCAUAAACCCCAUAAGAUUUCGGGCUUUUUCCUUACAAAUCACCAACAGUCUUAUUACAACUGAAUUUCAAUUUUUUCCCACUCGUAUUAAUUUAUAUAAGAUACUUCAAUAGAGAUUUGCUCUAAUCAAUUUGUGCUACUCCUUGUUAGACGUUGCAUUGUAGAGGAAAGGUUUUUUACUUGGUAUCAAUUAAUAGAGGAAAGGAGCUUUACACAUUUACAUGGUCUGUCUGAUGAUGGGAGCAUGAAAAAGAUAAUUUUGGUUUGAAGGAUUGCUCUUACUCUUUCCAGUUAGGUUGGCAUUCUGCUAAAUAUAGCGGCAAUAUAUGUUUUGACAGGCUUAGAUCUUUCAUGGAAAUGUGUAUUCUGAGCCCUGGAGUUACCUCAAAACUUCAUCAAACUAGAGCAAAAUAUGACCAGGCCUCAGUUUCACCAGCUCCAUGGAAAUGUUCUGAAGAGUUCUUUUCUCGUCAAAUAAAAAAUUGGGAUCCUCUGAAGAUAGGUUUUGUAUUCAUGUCUGCUCUCCGGACUCCCUACCAGAAUCCCGAUGCCUUUUACCCUGAUCAAAUGCCUUUUACCCUGAUCAAAAGGACAAACUACGAGGCAACAAAGUUUCAAGUUGCUAGCUCACUGAGAAUAGUUUUUAUUGCUGCAGGUUCCCAAACAUAUGGGCGUUGCGACUAGUACGUGAAUUAUUACAAUGGAAUCCUGAAGAUCGACCUAGUGUCGAUGAGGCUCUAAAACACCCAUACUUCUCGCAAAGGUAAUCAGAAAUACCAGGUGGGACAACUGUUCCGGUAUGAACAGCUAAAAGCCAACAAAACCUGCACACAUGUACUUACCCAACGGUUUGUGAUUCGAAUGCUCGUGGCCAUCUACAUGUCGAUGUCAAGUUUCUUUUUCUUGAAAUAGCUUUAUGGGAUGUUGUGGCCUCACACUGCACUCAAGGUUAUUUCGUUGAAUUUAUUGUCCGGAGGGUAAGCUGGAUGAAUUAGGGAAGUUGGCAGCAAAGAAUGAAGAACCGGGAGAAAUUUGAUCUUUCUUCACUUCUUGCCUCUGCAAUGAAGCACACAAUUUCAUGUAAACCAAUAUCAAAAUAUCUUUUUUUUUUAAUUAUCUCAAGAGGAUAAGCAUGUCAUAUCUUUUAUGAUUUAAGUUUGUGUAUACGGAUAAUGUAAAGUAUUCACAAUAUCAAUGUAUCAAUGUAGCUUAACCAGUUGUAGUUACAGAGAGUCGUGGGAACUUUAAUUCUUUGGAA